rnacentral:rRNA from 1 species
CUGCUGAACUUAAGCAUAUCAAUAAGCGGAGGA